rnacentral:rRNA from 1 species
AUUGAACGCUGGCGGCAGGCCUAACACAUGCAAGUCGAGCGGAUGAAGAGAGCUUGCUCUCUGAUUUAGCGGCGGACGGGUGAGUAAUGCCUAGGAAUCUGCCUGGUAGUGGGGGAUAACGUUCCGAAAGGAACGCUAAUACCGCAUACGUCCUACGGGAGAAAGCAGGGGACCUUCGGGCCUUGCGCUAUCAGAUGAGCCUAGGUCGGAUUAGCUAGUUGGUGAGGUAAUGGCUCACCAAGGCGACGAUCCGUAACUGGUCUGAGAGGAUGAUCAGUCAGACUGGAACUGAGACACGGUCCAGACUCUUACGGGAGGCAGCAGUGGGGAAUAUUGGACAAUGGGCGAAAGCCUGAUCCAGCCAUGCCGCGUGUGUGAAGAAGGUCUUCGGAUUGUAAAGCACUUUAAGUUGGGAGGAAGGGUAGUAAGUUAAUACCUUGCUGUUUUGACGUUACCGACAGAAUAAGCACCGGCUAACUUCGUGCCAGCCGCCGCCGUAACAC